CCUACGGGAGGCUGCAGUCGAGAAUCUUGGUCAAUGCACGAAAGUGUGAACCAGCGACGCCGCGUGGAGGACGAAGGCCCUCUGGGUUGUAAACUCCUUUUACGGGAGAAGAAUCAAUGACGGUAUCCCGUGAAUAAGCCACGGCUAACUACGUGCCAGCAGCCGCGGUAAUACGUAGGUGGCAAGCGUUGUCCGGAUUUACUGGGCGUAAAGCGAACGCAGGCGGGAAAGUAAGUAGGAAGUGAAAGGUUGGAGCUCAACUCUAACACUGCUCC
rnacentral:rRNA from 1 species